CGGACGGGUGAGUAACGCGUGAGAAUCUGCCUUCAGGUCUGGGACAACCACUGGAAACGGUGGCUAAUACCGGAUGUGCCGCAAGGUGAAAGGUUAACUGCCUGAAGAUGAGCUCGCGUCUGAUUAGCUAGUUGGCAGUGUAACAGACUACCAAGGCGACGAUCAGUAGCUGGUCUGAGAGGACGAUCAGCCACACUGGGACUGAGACACGGCCCAGACUCCUACGGGAGGCAGCAGUGGGGAAUUUUCCGCAAUGGGCGAAAGCCUGACGGAGCAAUACCGCGUGAGGGAGGAAGGCUCUUGGGUCGUAAACCUCUUUUCUCAGGGAAGAACACAAUGACGGUACCUGAGGAAUAAGCAUCGGCUAACUCCGUGCCAGCAGCCGCGGUAAUACGGAGGAUGCAAGCGUUAUCCGGAAUGAUUGGGCGUAAAGCGUCCGCAGGUGGCGAUGUAAGUCUGCUGUUAAAGCGUCUAGCUCAACUAGAUAAAAGCAGUGGAAACUACAUAGCUAGAGUACGUUCGGGGCAGAGGGAAUUCCUGGUGUAGCGGUGAAAUGCGUAGAGAUCAGGAAGAACACCGGUGGCGAAGGCGCUCUGCUAGGCCGUAACUGGCACUGAGGGACGAAAGCUAGGGGAGCGAAUGGGAUUAGAUACCCCAGUAGUC
rnacentral:rRNA from 1 species